rnacentral:rRNA from 1 species
UACGUAGGGGGCUAGCGUUGUCCGGAAUCAUUGGGCGUAAAGCGCGUGUAGGCGGUCCGGUAAGUCCGCUGUGAAAGUCGAGGGCUCAACCCUCGAAUGCCGGUGGAUACUGUCGGGCUUGAGUACGGGAGAGGCGAGUGGAAUUCCUGGUGUAGCGGUGAAAUGCGCAGAUAUCAGGAGGAACACCAAUGGCGAAGGCAGAUCUCUGGGCCGUAACUGACGCUGAGGAGCGAAAGCAUGGGGAGCGAACAGG